UAUGAGGCUAUAGGGAGUGUUUGGAGGAUGUGGUCCUCUAAGGGGCUGUGUGGGUCCAUAGGAUGAUCUGGAGCUAUAGGGUGAUCUCUAAAGGGAUGUGGGGCUAGAAGGCUCUCCCUUCCUUCUUUCCCCCCUUUCCACAGCAGGGAGGGUGAAAUGCUAGUCAUGAAAUUGAAACUGGAACUGAAGUUGUCUUGGAAUAGAAUAUGAUGCUUUUGUGGUCUUCAAUCUGAAACGUGUUUUCUCCUUGGGCUUGAGGUAAUCUGUUUAUGUUUAAUGAUUAUGUUUAAUAAUCUAAUCAUGUUUCAUAAUGCCUUUUGAAAAGGUUUCAGUGUGCAGUCUGCUGAUCCAAAAGAAAGAAGGCGGCUUUUGGAGGACAUAAUCAUGGCGAGUCGAGCUGCUGCUGAACCUCCCCUUCCAACAUCCAGCAGGUUUGUUCUGCAGGCCCCGAUGAUGGCACAGGCAUGAAAGAGCCCAGAGCUCGUCGCUGGGGAGAGGCUGCGUAUGGCGUUGUGAAGGGAGAGAUGGAGGAGGGGUUUGAGCAGCGCUGUGCAGGAAUGAACGGCUG